AGGACGAACGCUGGCGGAGUGCCUAACACAUGCAAGUCGAGCGGGGACAUGCGACGGAUCGGAAGUUUCGGAUGGAAGAGAAGAUGUAUGUUCUAGCGGCGGACGGGUGAGUAACGCGUGAGCAACCUGUCCUUCACAGGGGGAUAACACAGCGAAAGUUGUACUAAUACCGCAUGAGACCACGGCGGGACAUCCCGCAGGGGUCAAAGGAGCAAUCCGGUGAAGGGUGGGCUCGCGUCCGAUUAGAUAGUUGGUGAGGUAACGGCCCACCAAGUCGACGAUCGGUAGCCGACCUGAGAGGGUGAUCGGCCACAUUGGGACUGAGACACGGCCCAAACUCCUACGGGAGGCAGCAGUGGGGAAUAUUGGGCAAAUGGGGGAAACCCUGACCCAGCAACGCCGCGUGAGGGAAGAAGGUUUUCGGAUCGUAAACCUCUGUCCUUGGUGAAGAGGAAGAGACGGUAGCCAAGGAGGAAGCCCCGGCUAACUACGUGCCAGCCGCCGC
rnacentral:rRNA from 1 species